CCUAGUGGCGGACGGGUGCGUAACACGUAAGCAACCUACCCUCGAGUGGGGGACAACCUCGAGAAAUCGGGGCUAAUACCGCGUAAUGUGUUGGGGUAAUGCCCAAACACCAAAGCCUUCGGGCGCUUGAGGAGGGGCUUGUGGCCUAUCAGGUAGUUGGUGUAGGUAACGGCUCACCAAGCCUUUGACGGGUAGCUGGUCUGAGAGGAUGAUCAGCCACAUUGGGACUGAGACACGGCCCAG
rnacentral:rRNA from 1 species